rnacentral:rRNA from 1 species
GUCCACGCUGUAAACGAUGAGUGCUAGGUGUCGUGGGUAUUGACCCCCGCGGUGCAGUAGCUAACGCAUUAAGCACUCCGCCUGGGAAGUACGGUCGCAAGACUAAAAACUCAAAGGAAUUGACGGGGGCCCCGCACAAGCGGUGGAGCAUGUGGUUUAAUUCGACGCAACGCGCAGAACCUUACCUGGGCUGGAAAGUGUUCGGAAGUCUUGUGAAAGCGAGAUGUGCCCGCAAGGGAGCCGAGUGACAGGUGCUGCAUGGCUGUCGU